rnacentral:rRNA from 1 species
CCCGAAAGAUCGAAAGAAGAGAUUCAUCGUCAGUGUGAUUGGAACUCAUGUGUUUCGCGAUGUGUCGAGUCUUCGGAUUCGAUUCACGCAAGCACUGUGUAGUAUAUCUGAUUAUGCCGGCGUGCACUUCUCUUCUAGUAGAACGUUGCGACCCGCUGGGUGUUGGCUUAAGGACCAAAUUAUUGACUGUUUCAAACGUUUGCGCGUAUUGUUAACAGAUAUUUGGAUUUCUGGCUGACUGCCCGGCGGUACACACAAGGUAUUGAGCCGCAAAUUUGAAUGCGUUCAGACUCGUUGCAAGCUUAAUCAUCAAAUAACCUGGAUGACGGACCUCGCGCCGUUUUUGGGAGUGAUUGGCUGUUGGUUGACGAUGUUCUCGAACUGGCUGAGUUGAAUAAACAACAAUACCGGUCGGCGACGCUAUUGCUUUGGGUACUUUCAGGACCCGUCUUGAAACACGGACCAAGGAGUCUAACAUGUGCGCGAGUCAUUGGGAUUUUUGAAACCUAAAGGCGCAUUGAAAGAAAAGAUCAACCUUGUGUUGAGUGAGGGAGGAUGGGCAAUAUGAAAAUAUUGCUUCGCACUCCCGGGGUGUCUCAUAAAGUCAUUGCGACUUGAGGCGCACCUAGAGCGUACACGUUGGGAACCCGAAAAGAUGGUGAACUAUGCCUGGUCAGGAUGAAGUC